AAUGAACGUUGGCGGCAUGGAUUAGGCAUGCAAGUCGAGCGAGAAGAGUUUUGAAGCUUGCUUUAGAACUCGGACAGCGGCGAAAGGGAGAGUAACGCGUAGUUAUGUGCCCUAGGGUCCGGAAUAGCCACGGGAAACUGUGGGUAAUGCCGGAUAAUAUCCCCGGAUCAAAGGUGUGAUUCCGCCCUAGGAGCAGACUGCGUCCUACUAGCUAGUUGGUGGGGUAAUGGCCUACCAAGGCAAUGAUGGGUAGCGGGUGUGAGAGCAUGACCCGUCUCACUGGGACUGAGACACUGCCCAGACACCUACGGGUGGCUGCAGUCGAGAAUCUUCGGCAAUGGGCGAAAGCCUGACCGAGCGAUGCCGCGUGCGGGAUGAAGGCCCUCGGGUUGUAAACCGCUGUCGUAGGGGAGGAAGGUUCCGUGAAGAGCGGAAUUUGACCUAUCCUAGGAGGAAGUACGGGCUAAGUUCGUGCCAGCAGCCGCCGUAAGAC
rnacentral:rRNA from 1 species